GGAACAAUUUUUAUAUUUUUGAUUUUUCUUGUAAUAAAAUAAAGUAAAAGAGUAAAAAUGAGUUAAAAUAGCUAUAUUAGGCCUAAAUUAAAUAUUUACGUGCUAAAAUAUAAAACAUCUUGGGGAGGAUCAAAAAUCGCAUGUCUACAGCUGCCCCUCUUUGACUGGAAACGCAAAGAGUUUUCAGACAAAGAACGACUAGACAGGUUUUUUGACCCGAUCCUUAUUUACAGGGACCAAAAAUUAAGAGAAAUGAGAAUUUGACCGAGCCCUGGUCUCUGAGCUGCCUACAUAUCCUUGGCUAUAAAGGAAUCAGGCCACAUGUAGUUCAGAAGUGAGUGAGAUGAUGGAGUAUGCCGAGGUGGAGAGCCAGUCGAGGUGUCGUUCCAUCGAGGUUCCGGUCUGCGGUCCCGUUAUUAUAUCAAAAUCAAAAAUGAAAAAGACUAACUACGCCUAUCAGCUACGAGUUACAAGAUUCCAAUCUAUGAGUCUUCUGAAAUUUGAUCUUGAGUCUUGGUUGGUUCUGGAUUGUGACAAACUUCUGUUGAUCAUCUCGGACUGCUGACUCACAUUCUUGACGCGAGCUUCUUUUGUUGCUGACCUAAAUUGCAUUCUGAAUUGAAUUCCCUUUUUUCCAGGUGGGCGCCUGAUUGCUGAACUUGAACUGACUUCCUUUGAAACUUGAACUGUUUUCUCUUGAAACUCGAACUGUUUUCCCUUGAAACUUGAACUGUCUUCCUUCGAAACUGCUUUUUCUUGAAACUUGAACUAUCUUCCCUUGUUCUCUAGGUGAGCUCCUGAUUGCUGAACUUGACCUGUCUUCCUUCGAAACUGGAACCGUUUUCCCUUGUUCUCCAGGUGGGCGCCUGAUUGCUGAAACUUUCUGUGUUCCCUUGUUUUCCAUGUGGGUGCCUGCAAUCAAAACCAACAAAACAAAUAAAAUUUUCUGCCCCAGUUUGCACUAGGAAGAUUUGUGAGUUGUUAGCAGUAUUGUAAACCACUUAUACUAUUGAUGCGAUGAUGAGUAAACUAAAGACUAUACUAGGAUGUACGUCUCCUAAAAGUGAUUGAGCUUGCAGAAAACUAUAAACUAAGCUUGACUAAAGUAAAGACUGACCCUAAUUUCCAGGGGGACCCCUGAUUUCAAGAAAACUAAACAUUGAUAACUUAAGAAAAAUAAAAAUUGACCCCUCUCUUUUUGCAAAUUCAGACUUCUUUUUUUCAAAAUAUCCUAGGAGAAAAUUCGUCAGACUAGGUUUUCUAUCUUAGGAGAAAGAUUCAUCCGACUAAGACGUUUACCCUAGGAGAAAGUUCGUCAGACUAGGUCUCUUUUCUUAUCUUAGGAGAAAGAUUCAUCCGACUAAGACGUUUACCCUAGGAGAAAGUUCGUCAGACUAGGUCUCUUUUCUUAUCUUAGGAGAAAGAUUCAUCAGACUAAGACGUUAAUCCUAGGAGAAAAUUCAUCAGACUAGGUCUCUUUUCUUAUCUUAGGAGAAAGAUUCAUCAGACUAAGAUUUUGAUCCUAGGAGAAAGUUCAUCAGAUUAGGUCUUCUAUCUUAGGAGAAAAAUUCAUCAAACUAAGAUUUUUAUCCUAGGAGAAAAGUCAUCAGACUAGGUCUUCUAAUUUGUUAUCUUAGGAGAAAGAUUCGUCAGACUAAGAUUUAUAUCCUAGGACAAAAUUCAUCAGACUAGGUUUUCUAUUUUAGGAGAAAAAUUCAUCAGACUAAGAUUUAUAUUGGGAGGAAAAUUCAUCAGACUAGGAAUUUUUAUCCUAGGAGGAAAAAUGUGAAGAUCAAUGUCAAGAUUUUAUGCACAAUAGCAAGACAAAUAAAGGCAAAGAUUUGAGAAACUUCCCUUUGUCGGCUCUUCUCGUCUUUUCUUUUUCUUCUCUUUUUUGUUGUUUUUU
rnacentral:lncRNA from 1 species